UGCUUUCGUGUCAAGUCCAUAAUUUUCUUUCCGUUUUAAGACCAACAACGCUCACCGUGAUUACCACCGCCACUGCAGAGGACGACACCAGCGUCGCUAACGACGUGAAGCUGCCCAUCCUCGUGGAUUUCUACCGCCACAUCAACUACCGCUAACAUUGAUAAUCCAGUAACAUCGGAAUUGACUGUCUUAUGGAGGACUACUUUCUGCUACUGAAACUCUCAAGGUUCAUAUGAGAUGUGCUAUUGUGCAGGUGCACUAAUACUAUUCAGCGAUGGCAUCUUAUUUUGCGAUGUGUUUGUUCAAUCAUGGAAAUUCAACCGUAGAAGAUCAUUUGUCCUAUGCUCAUUGUGUUCGUUUUCUACCUUGCACAAUGGGUGAAUUGGUCUCUACUUUCUGUUGUAGAUGCAAACGUAUCAGUUUUGAUUUGUUAUUGAAUUUUCUUGACAGUUAAGUGGUUCUCGUGUAUGGUUGUUUAUUGCUCAUUUAUUUAGUUACUAAUAUGCAUAGGUAGACCUUGUCCAUAGUGGGUGUUUAGGCCAAGUAUGCAGGUCACUGUAUACAUGCCUACAAGCCUCAUUUACUGUAUACAUCCACUUUAUCCUACAUAAUUAAGUUGUCAACAUAAGCAAAUGACUUCAGCUUUGUAGCUUCUAUCCCUUGUAUGGUUUCAGCAAGGGACAUACAGAUGUUUGUUGCAUAUCUGAAAUCAGUUAAUAUGUAAUUUUACUGAGAGAAUGCAUAGCAUAUCUAUGCAUCCGUGCCGUGGAGUUGGUGGCUAGCAAGAUCUUCUGGAAGAGGAGCAAGACACAUCCUGAUAUUGAAACAACGGACUGAAAUCACUUCUGGAUUUGCACAAACACAAAUUAUAUGCAUUGAGGUGAGUUUCUUAUAGCUUCUGCAAUCGAGUUUGACUCUGUUUGGAGUUCUGUCAGUAAAAAAUCAUGUUUUCUAUGGACCGUGGAGAGUUGAGGAGUGGAAUUGUUCCAUACAGCCCAAUUGCACAUGGGUUUUUCGGUGGAAGAGUGACAGCUGAACAAGUCUCUGCUAUAUCUUAUCUGAAAGAGCAUACACGCAAUAAAGCUGGAGAAGAACAAGCUUUUUUGUCUUCAAAUGGAAAACUAGGUAUUAUACGUAUUGCACCUAAAUCCGUAUUUUGAUGUCUUGCACUAAUUAUUCUCCCUUACCAGGAAUGAGGAAGAAAAGUAACCUUGGUAAUAACGGGUAUUUAUUAAAGCUGACUUCACACAUCACAACCUGGGUUGUAUGGACGCACGGGUGACACUUGGGCGCAGACCAAAAGUGAUAGCUCCCAUGUAUGAUAUUCUUUAGAUAGGUUUUGGUACACUCCUUCCUCUCACCCUCAUUCUUCCUUUAGAGCGAGAUUUGGCAGAUUGGAAGAUAAGAUUCAUGCUUGUUGGUGAUUAGAAUCUUGGCUUCAUGUUGGGUUGGGGACAGUGGAUGAAUUUCAAACCCGUGUAAGGAGACUAGAAGCUCGGCUGUCACGUGUAACAUUACCACAUGAUUUGCAUGGUUCAGUUGACUUCAAAAAAUAUCCAUUUCGAAUAUGUCAUGUUCGGACUUGACCACAUCGAUUGCAACAGUUUAAAGUUACUAUUCCAAAAAUAUAUGUGGUUAUGUUGUGAAUGAAUAACCAGAUGGACUGCGUUGUUGAAGUCACCUGCCAGAAUUGAUGCACGCGUGGCUUUCAGAUGCACUUGACCAUUGUAGACAACAGUGAAGAGGUCUUUGAAUGGUGCAUCGGGCAAACAGAUGUAGAUCAAUUUCUUCAAGUAUCUCCUAAUGAAUAUAUAGAACUCCCUGAGGUAUUAACUCAUCAACUUAUCCAGACCUCAUACAAUGUACCAAUACUUGAGGCGACAUUUUGCAAUAUCCGCUUAAAUAGUUAGCUGCAACUCUCUUUGGAGAUCGAGCUCCAUGUAGCUCGAUUUUUGGAAAAAAUUUGAAAUCCACGUUUUAAGGUUUCAAAAAUAUUCCCAAAAAAUUAUGGAUGUAGCUAACGAUGGUAUUCUACAAUCAUUCAAAACCUCAAUGAUAAAUACCUUAUACUUCGGGAUAGACCAAAAUGACAAGUUCUGACAAAUUUUCGGACUUUCAAAAUGUGUACUAUUCACUAUAUUAGAUGUUUAGAUCUACACAUUUGUCAUUUGUUAUAGCCCAAAAUAUAAGGUAUUUCGUAUUCGUAUUUUUUACAAUUGUAGGAUACAUCUGUAACUACUUGCAGAUUUGUUUUCAGAUUUUGUUGAAACUUCAAACAGGGUUUUCGAAUUUUUCAAAAAGAAUGAGCUACGUGAAGCUUGAGCCCCAAAACGCCACUUUUACUCUACCUUCCCAUGGGUGCUUCUGUUUCUUCUGACACAUAAGCAAUAGUGCCCUGUUUUAACAAGACCAGUUUAUUUCUUACUUAUGAGCAAAUGUAUGUUUUCUUACCAUUACUC